GCUAGUUCUUAUAAUAAUAUAACACUCUUGACGUUUGCAAUAAUAUUAAUUAAAUGAUCAAUUAUAACCAUACUUCACGCACAAAAAAAUCUAACGUCUCAUUUUGAGUGUGUCUAAUAAAGAUAAACAGUAUUUGCAUAAAUAGAUAGUAAGUACACAUUCGAGAAUUGAAAGGAAAGAAGAAAUAGAGAAAAAUCGCUAGACAUUGUAGCUGAAAAGAGCAGGCUGUUAUAUUUAGAUAAGUAUAAAUUAUCUGUCAAUUGCUUCGAUGACGAAGCUAAAAUUACAGCAUCGAUCGUGAAAGGCGCGGCGAAGACACAAGACAUAGGUUAACCGCAUAUCCAGCUGAACGGAGAUCGAUCCGGAAAUUCGCCAUCGCUUUAGACAGACCUGUGAUACGGUCCGAAACCGGCGAAUCACGCGCAUCCGCUCGCCGUACGUCACGAACCUGUGGAAGAACUUUGCGCACGCAUCGUACUUCUCGCUCGUGCUGUUGCCGCUGUCGUUUGUGGGUGGAUGACGGAAAGGGUUGGAAAAUAUGUAAAUAACGGCCGUGCGCCGUUUCUCCACGGUUCAUACGUAUGUAUGGUCACCCAUCAUGUACUUUUCAACGUGCGCACAGUACAAAAUUUAUCCAAUCUAAGAUGAAAAUGUUGGUUACUUUAGGUUAUUCUGCAUUUUUUUUAAAUAUUCAGCACAAGGAUUAUUAAUCUAAAAUUUAGAUUUUAUGGUGUCGAAAAAUAUAUACAUAUAUACUGUAUAAAAUCAUCGAUAUAAAAAAUAAAAGCUAUGUAAAAUAUCCCUUUCUGUCACAGUGAGUCAAUUUUACAUUAUAGCACAUAUAGAAGUUCAAGGCCAUGAGACGCCUCGAUGACGACAUUCGCCCGCAUUCCCGUUGUAGAUUUAGCACUAAACGCGGCAAGCUCAAACGAGAUUCAUUUAUUAGAAAAGUACUAAUUGCAUUCGUGCCGAAUCGGAAUUAAAAUUUCAGCUGUAUUAUACAACUCUCAGGAUGAUAUAUAAUACACAAAUGCUUCUACGUGAAUACUACCGCGCUUCAUUCUUAAAUCGAUUUUGCGAAUCAGCUGAUCUCGAGGAAGAACAAAAACAAUUUGAUUUUAUAAUCAUAGAUGUUUGAAUAUAUUGAUCAUGGAUAUAGUUAGCAAUAUGCUAUCCGUGUUCGUGUAUGUAGUCAAGCGCGAAUAUCUAGGAAUGUGCGUGUGUACAGUACAUAGAUACGUACCAAAUAAGAAUGAUGUCACCGCAUGACGCACGUGGAAUUGGCUAGCCCAAUGCCCGGCCGGCCGAUCCCGAGGAAAUGCGGCCGUUAAUGGAAUUUACGUAUCCGCUGCGCAUCCUGCUUGCGGAGAAACUGUAUCCGUUGAUUAUCAACGCGUGGCGAAUGCGUUAAUCUAACGUCACGAAAACGCCGAUAAACCGCGCUUCCCGCGAUGAAUUAAGGAUCGAAAAACUUUCUAGCGUUGUAAAUAGAAAGUGUACCGUACGAGUAUACUCGGCAUUAUACUUCCAUCCAUCCAAUUCAGUUACGUCUAAAUUAUACACUUGUCGAAAGCACUUUGACAUGAAAAAACAAAAAAAAAAUAAAUAAAAAUCAAUAGAAAUAAACACAGUAAUAAAAUUGUUCUUAGGAAAUAUCUUAAUAUUAAAAAUGAUAAUAUUAUCAAAUAAUUAUCAAAAAUGUUUGAUUUUUUCUUAAUUAUAUAUUAAACUUUCAGAAUGUAAAUAAUUUUUUUCGAUUAUUACAACAAAUUGUAUACAAACAAAUAAAAAAAUCUGAAUAUUCUUCAUUCUUAUUGCAAUGUGUUGACUUUUUUAUAGAGUUAACACAUUGCUUUAUUUUUAAAAUGCAAUGUGUUGAGAAACCAUGUGUGAGCUGUGUAAGGCUGAGAUAUAAAAAGGUUUCAAAAACCUUCAAUGAAGAUAGUUUAAUGUAUGUUUAUAAAAUAGACAGAAAUAUCUAUUUUUAAUACACAUGGUUUACACACACGUACACGCGCGCAAACCAGGAAUAAGAUUAUCAAUAAAAUAUUAAAUAACGAUUCGACAACUUUUUCGAAUCAGUAUAUUUCGCAUUAAUCGAAUUUUUAAUUACUUAUUUAAGACAUAAGAAAUAACAAUGAUCAUUUAUGCAAUAUGAUUUCAAUAAACCACAUCGAUAAAAAGUUGUUAAUAUUGAAACGAAAGUAACGAAGGAUUGCGUCACAGAGACUCGCAAUUGCGUAUACGCAAUUCAGCAUUUAAGUGUGAUUUGAAAACAAUAUUCUGCGUAAAAUGACAUAUUUUUAAAUAUUCACUCAAAUUGUUGCGGCAUUUAAAAAACUUUUUGUAUCAAUGUUGUAUGUAUGCUAUCAAAAAUUGUACAUAGCCAGAGAGAAGAGGAGGACAGGAUACUAGAGGCCCAGAGACACGAUUUUUAAAUCCGUGACUAAUCUAUAAAACAAUUUUUAUGCACAUUAGCGUCACUUUAAACAUAAUGAUAAUAUGAAUUGUCAUUGAAAGCUGUAACUCUUAUCUCGUGGCAUGUUAGAACGCACUGUCCC
rnacentral:lncRNA from 1 species